rnacentral:rRNA from 1 species
CAUGCAGUCGAACGGAUCCUUCGGGAUUAGUGGCAGACGGGUGAGUAACGCGUGGGAAGCUACCUUGUGGUAGGGAACAACAGUUGGAAACGACUGCUAAUACCCUAUGAGCCCUAUGGGGGAAAGAUUUAUCGCCAUGAGAUGUGCCCGCGUUAGAUUAGCUAGUUGGUAAGGUAAUGGCUUACCAAGGCGACGAUCUAUAGCUGGUCUGAGAGGAUGAUCAGCCACACUGGGACUGAGACACGGCCCAGACUCCUACGGGAGGCAGCAGUGGGGAAUAUUGGACAAUGGGGGCAACCCUGAUCCAGCCAUGCCGCGUGUGUGAUGACGGCCUUAGGGUUGUAAAGCACUUUCAGCAGUGAAGAUAAUGACAUUAACUGCAGAAGAAGCCCCGGCUAACUUCGUGCCAGCAGCCGCGGUAAUACGAAGGGGGCUAGCGUUGUUCGGAAUCACUGGGCGUAAAGCGUACGUAGGCGGGCUGAUAAGUUAGGGGUGAAAUCCCGGGGCUCAACCCCGGAACUGCCUUUGAUACUGUCAGUCUUGAGAUCGAGAGAGGUGAGUGGAACUCCGAGUGU